UUAAAAAGCUCGUAGUUGGAUCAGAUUCACGUGCCGUGGCCUGUUUGUCUGGUGGUUCCGAUCCCGUGUCGCAGCGAUCACCCCGUGCGCCAAACUGUCGACUCUAACAGACCGAAACGGUUCCCUGCGAGUAGGCUCCUUCAUUGGGGUUGAAAGCGCUUACGCAUCAACCAUAUGCAUACGGGACGUCGGUCAAAGUUACUGUGAACAAACCAGCGUGUCCAAAACAGGCCUUCGCCUGAAUGUUCGAGCAUGGAAUAACAAGGGAUCGAUUCUCUCGGUUCUUUUUGUUGGUUUUUAACCCGAGAAGGAGUAAUUCAGGCCACGGUGUCUGAGUUGGGUUUCCCUCUACUUCGGUGGAGGCCCCAAUUAGGCCGUGUCCUUACGGGAUCAAUAGGGACUGACGGGGUCGUACGUACUUCUACGUCAGAGGUGAAAUUCUUAGAUCGUAGGAAGACGAACUUCUGCGAAAGCAUUCGACAAGAAUGUCUUCAUUAAUCAAGAACGAGAGUGUGGGGAUCGAAGAUGAUCAGAUACCGUC
rnacentral:rRNA from 1 species